rnacentral:rRNA from 1 species
AUUGAACGCUGGCGGCAGGCCUAACACAUGCAAGUCGAACGAGUGGCGGACGGGUGAGUAAUGUCUGGGAAAAUGCCUGAUGGAGGGGGAUAAAUACUGGAAACGGUUGCUAAUAACGAAUACCAUCGGAUGUGCCCAGAUGGGAUUAGCUAGGAGGUGGUGUAAAGGAUCACCUAGGCGACGAGCCCUAGCUGGUCUGAGAGGCUGACCGGCCACACUGGAACGGAGACACGGUCCAGAUGCCUACGGGAGGCAGCAGUGUGGAAUAUUGCACAAUGGGCGCAAGCCCGAUGCAGCCAUGCCGCGUGUAUGAAGUAGGCCUUCGGGUUGUAAAGUACUUUCAGCGGGGAGGCGUUACCCGCAGAAGAAGCACCGGCUAACUCCGUGCCAGCAGCCGCGGUGAUUC